UGGGGAAUAUUGCACAAUGGGGGAAACCCUGAUGCAGCGACGCCGCGUGAACGAAGAAGGUAUUCGUAUCGUAAAGUUCUGUCCUAUGGGAAGAUAAUGACAGUACCAUAGCAGAAAGCUCCGGCUAAAUACGUGCCAGCAGCCGCGGUAAUACGUAUGGAGCGAGCGUUGUCCGGAAUUAUUGGGCGUAAAGGGUACGCAGGCGGUUUAAUAAGUCGAAUGUUAAAGAUCGGGGCUCAACCCCGCAAAGCAUUGGAAACUGAUAAGCUUGAGUACUGGAGAGGAAAGUGGAAUUCCUAGUGUAGUGGUGAAAUACGUAGAUAUUAGGAGGAAUACCAGUAGCGAAGGCGACUUUCUGGACACAAACUGACGCUGAGGUACGAAAGCGUGGGGAGCAAACAGG
rnacentral:rRNA from 1 species